UACGGAGGGUGCGAGCGUUGUCCGGAAUCACUGGGCGUAAAGGGCGCGUAGGCGGCCUGAUAAGUAGGGGGUGAAAUCCUGCGGCUUAACCGCAGGGCUGCCUUCUAAACUGUCAGGCUCGAGCACAGUAGAGGCAGGUGGAAUUCCCGGUGUAGCGGUGGAAUGCGUAGAGAUCGGGAGGAACACCAGUGGCGAAGGCGACUUCCUGGCCUGUUCUUGACGCUGAGGCGCGAAAGCUAGGGUAGCAAACGGG
rnacentral:rRNA from 1 species